GAGGCAGCAGUGGGGAAUAUUGCACAAUGGGCGCAAGCCUGAUGCAGCCAUGCCGCGUGUGUGAAGAAGGCCUUCGGGUUGUAAAGCACUUUCAGCGGGGAGGAAGGCGUUAAGGUUAAUAACCUUGGCGAUUGACGUUACCCGCAGAAGAAGCACCGGCUAACUCCGUGCCAGCAGCCGCGGUAAUACGGAGGGUGCAAGCGUUAAUCGGAAUUACUGGGCGUAAAGCGCACGCAGGCGGUCUGUCAAGUCGGA
rnacentral:rRNA from 1 species